UACGUAGGGCGCAAGCGUUAUCCGGAAUUAUUGGGCGUAAAGAGCUCGUAGGCGGUUUGUCGCGUCUGCCGUGAAAGUCCGGGGCUCAACUCCGGAUCUGCGGUGGGUACGGGCAGACUAGAGUGAUGUAGGGGAGACUGGAAUUCCUGGUGUAGCGGUGAAAUGCGCAGAUAUCAGGAGGAACACCGGUGGCGAAGGCGGGUCUCUGGGGCCGAUACGUGACGCUGAGGAGCGAAAGCGUGGGGAGCGAAC
rnacentral:rRNA from 1 species